UUUCCUUUAUAAGCACGAAAACCCCAAAAAUCUGCUAUUGAACAAACACUUGUUCAAUAUAAAACUGUAAUUUACUUUUAAAACUCUUAAAACAUCUUUGCUUAACAAAUCAUGUUAGAAUCCUAAGGUUCCCUAGCUCUCUGUGAAUUUGAUCCCUAAGUACUACAACUCGACCUCAUAUUUGAGAGAGUAUAAAUCACUC
rnacentral:lncRNA from 1 species